UUGUGAUUUGGUUUCUUUGUUAUCGCUAAUAACUAUUUUUCUCAUCUCUUCAUCGUUUUCGAUCUUCCUAUUUCAGUCUAAUUCAUCAUCGAUUCAACCCUAGUAACAAAAAUUCAUUGUCGCUAACUAUACCAAAAAUUCAUUAUCGCAUUGCCGCGAAUCUUUCGUUCGAGCAAAUUUCUUCUCUGUUUACGAAACUGAUUCUUUCUCCGCGAAUCUUGAUUACUGGAACCCUAAAAAAUUUAUUUGAACGGUUCCUCAAUUUUAGGGUUUUAUGUUUCUACAGCUCUUGCAAGGUUCAAUUUGAAAGAGAUAUAUGUAGAAAUGGAAACGAAUUUUAGGGUUUCAUGUUUCCGCGGUCCUCUCAAGUUUAGCAAUGUCGCUCAUAUCAAGGUAAUUGUCAUCACUCUUUCAAUUUUCGAUUCUGUAUUAUCUUUUUAAAUUUUUCUAAUUGAUUUGAGGUUGUUUUUUGUUUGCAACAUUAACAUGCUGUUAAUCUUGUUUAUCCAAGAAGAUGCUAAAUUUGUACUGAAAGCCACUUUAUUGUUGUUAAUCUUGUUUCGGGUCUUCAUUAUUCAAGCCUAAGAUGGCUGGCUAAUUUGUACUGAAAGAAACUGUAUUGUUGCUAAAAGAAUUCUUAAUACAAGUCUUGGGAUAUUCUGUUUGGAUGACCCCAUGAGAUGAAUUUUUUACCAAAAAUGUGGCUUACAAUAUGAAUUCUUUAUUCAUAUAUAAUUAGAUGCUAUACAUGGUGCCUUUGAUGCCAAAUUGAUAUGGUCUGAAUGAAAUUUCAAUGUCAAUGCUUCAAAUGUAGCUGGAGAUGACUCUUGGUGCCAUUGAUGUGAAAUAUUAUAUAUGUCCCUAAAUAUAUGUCUCUCGAUGUCCCUAAUUGAUGCCUAAAUGAAUGCAAUUCGAUCUCCCUAAAUUUAUGGUCUGAAUGAAUGCAAUUCAAUGUUCCUAAAUUGAUGGCUGUGUGCCAUGGUGCCUUUGAUGCAAAAUUGAGUAUAUGUCCCUUGAUGUCCCUAAAUUGAUGGUCUGAAUGGAAUUUCAAUGUGAAUGCUUAAUUGCUUAUUCAUAACUUCAAAUGUAAGUGGAGAUGACCCUUGGUGCCAUUGAUGCAAAAUAGAAUAUAUGUCCCUAAAUUGGAUACAUGUUGCUCCAUGUCCCUAAACUGAAUAUAUGUCUCUCGAUGUCCCUAAUUGAUGCCUAAAUGAAUGCAAUUCGAUGUCCCUAAAUUGAUGGCUGUGUGCCAUGGUGCAUUUGAUGCAAAAUUGAGUACAUGUCCCUUGAUUGAUGGUCUGAAUGAAAUUUCAACGUGAAUGCUUAAUUGCUUAUUCAUAACUUCAAAUGUAAGUGGAGAUGACCCUUGGUGCCAUUGAUGCAAAAUAGAAUAUAUGUCCCUAAAUUGGAUACAUGUUGCUCCAUGUCCCUAAAUUGAAUAUAUGUCUCUCGAUGUCCCUAAUUGAUGCCUAAAUGAAUGCAAUUCGAUGUCCCUAAAUUGAUGGUUGUGUGCCAUGGUGCAUUUGAUGCAAAAUUGAGUAUAUGUCCCUUGAUUGAUGGUCUGAAUGAAAUUUCAACGUGAAUGCUUAAUUGCUUAUUCAUAACUUCAAAUGUAAGUGGAGAUGAUCCUUGGUGCCAUUGAUGCAAAAUAGAAUAUAUGUCCCUAAAUUGGAUACAUGUUGCUCCAUGUCCCUAAAUUGAAUAUAUGUCUCUCGAUGUCCCUAAUUGAUGCCUAAAUGAAUGUAAUUCGAUGUCCCUAAAUUGAUGGCUGUGUGCCAUGGUGCCUUUGAUGCAAAAUUGAGUAUAUGCCCCUUAAUGUCCCUAAAUUGAUGAUCUGAAUGAACGCAAUUCGGUGUCCCUAAAUUGAUGGUCAGAAUGAAUGCAAUUCGAUGUGAAUGCAAUUCGACGUGAAUGCAAUUCAGUGUCCCUAAUAUUGCAAUUCGAUGUCCCUAAAUUGUUGGGCACGACAAAUGUGAAUGUUUUUCCUUCGAUAUGCUGCCGGUUAUAUCUUAUCGAGCAUAGUAUUUUUAAGGAAUUACCUGUUCAUAUAUUUUUUUUGGAAUACUCCUGUUGUUCAUUUUGGUUCACGGCUUCCGUGGUACCAAUUUUUAUGUUGAUGCUGGUCUUAUUAAGUAUACCAGUUCUACCAUUGAGAUACAUCUAUUACUGAGUCUUAAAUUCUUAUUUACAUACUUGAGGUCAUGAAUACCAAUUUAAACUCGACGCUUGCAUAAUCAUAAUAUUUUAUAGGAGAAAGUGGUUGAAUCUCAAGGGCGGGGUCACAUUAUUUCCUGCUUACAGAAUGGCUCUAGAAUUUCAAAGGAAGCAAUUGAUUUGCUAUAUGAGUUACUUCAAGACCGUUCUGGCUGGAAUAGAAGUUUCUGUAAAAGGCUUUCUGAGCAUCCCAACGCAAUUCUUUACCUUGUUACCAUUCUAAAGGAACCUGUCAGUGAAUAAACUGGGAUUGCAGAAAAGAUUUUGAUGGAGCUUUUUGAAAUAGAUGAGGAAAAUGUUUCUUGUGCUGCUAAGUUUGGUUGGUACAAAGUGCUUGUUGAUCGCAUUAUUCAAGGUAGCAAGACAUAUUGUUUUUUAGCUCGGCUUUAUUGUGUUGAGAGUUCAUGGAAUGCGCAUAUUCAAUUAUAUAUAUUGACAAAAAUGAAAUUACAUUAAAUACAGGAUCGGAGUCUUCAAGAAUCUCAAUGGUUAAAGCCAUGAUUACUUUGGAAUUGGAAGAAUCAAACUUGAAACUCCUUGGAGAGAAACGAGUUAUAUAUAUACCUCCUUUGAUAGAAAUGCUAUCUGGAAGCAUUAUCAUUAUCAGGCUUGGUCAAACUAGCAGGAGUUCAUGCCAAUAAGGGAAUUAUUGCUGCAUAUGGAGGUGUCCCUCUUGUUCUAGAUUUAAUGUUCUCUCGCAGGACACGAGCGUUCAUUACAAUUAAAUGCUUUGAAAUCCUUGAGAAGCAUUCAUCUGAUGAUGACGGAUUUAAUUUCUUCAUUGAUGGAGAAGGGAAACAACUUGAGUUAGAUAACAUUAUCACCGAUUUGCUAACUCUAGAGCAGCAGCUUCCUAACUCAGGUCACUACCUUAUAUGCAAAAUUGAGUAUACGUCGCACGAUGUCCCUAAAUUGAUGGUUUGAAUGGAAUUUCAAUGUGAAUGCAUAUUCAUAACUUCAAAUGUAAGUUGAGAUGACCCUUGGUGCCAUUGAAGCAAAAUAAUAUAUAUGUCCCUCGAUGUCCCUAAAUUGAAUAUAUGUCCCUCGAUAUCCCUAAAUUGAUGGUCUGAAUGGAAUUUCAAUGUGAAUGCUUAUUCAUAACUUCAAAUGUAAGUGGAGAUGACCCUUGGUGCCAUUGAUGCGAAAAAGUAUAUUUAUCCCUCGAUGUCCCUAAAUUGAAUAUAUGUUCCUCGAUGUCCCUAAAUUGAAUAGAUGUAUAUGUCCCUCGAUGUCACUAAAUUGAUGAUCUGAAUGAAUGCAAUUCGGUGUCCCUAAAUUGAUGGUCUGAAUGAAUGCAAUUCCACGUGAAUGCUUAGUCGUAACUUCAAAUGUAAGUGAAGACGACCCUUGACGCGAUGACUAUACAUGCUUUUCCAUAAUGGUAAGUUUGGAUGAUGUGAAAAUUGAAUAUAUGUCCCUUGAUGACUCUGAAUUGUUGGCCAAAAUGCAAUUUCAUUAUUAAUGUAGAACAAGAGGGACACCUCCAUAUGCAAAUGGAGGUCGUAACAUAUAAAAAAAUAUUAUGAAAUAUUGCUCAUACUAUUGUCUAUACCAUUGGAUGUGUUCCUAUUCAGUUGACAAAAACUAUUAGAUGGCUAUUUAGUUGCUGACUUGUUUUCUGAAUGUGCAUAACAUCUUUCUAUUUGAGCUUGCCUAAACUAUGUGGAUUCCGAGGUAGUAAACAUAAUUGUUUGAUUGAGACAUGGCUUAACUAUCCCAUAUUUAGGCUAGUUUGCAUCCUAAAGUGUGAAGGUAUUGAGGAGAAAAAAUUCGAGAAGAAUGAGAAGUUCUAGUGGAUGGGUGAUAUGGAAUAUAAGCAAGAGAAGACUCUUGGCUUGCUGAAGGAUAGAAAUUUUAAAAGGUGCAUUCUUCUGAUGCGAACGACUAAAUUAUUGCAAAGUAUUCAAUAUGGGAUUGUUGCUGAUCCAAAUGCAAUGAUGGAUGAUUUGGGUGAAUAGGAGGGGGCAAUGGCUUUUGGAGUGGAAGUGGCCGAGGGAAUUAAUUCAGUAGGUGUAUUAUCAUAUGACUUAAUGAAUGUGUUGCUGGCUAAUGUAGUUUGAGGUUGGGGGUACUAUUGGCAUAUUGAAAUAUUUAGCUGAUCCAACAAAUGCUUAUUCAAUGAAAUUAGCAUUUGAGGUAAUUUCAAAUGAGGGUAUCCAUUGGGAUGCUUGGCGAUCUAUAUGGUUUGUUGUUAUCUCGACUAUUGGAUGAUCUCGCAUCCAAAAGCUGUCUCUUUGCAAGUUGUGACUGUUUUUGAGGUAGUUAAAUUGAAAGUCUGAAGUUGGUUAAGUGCAAUGAAUGUCUGGUUAAGGUAUCAUGUUCCAUCAUGAAAUUAUUGUCUAACAGCUCCUAUUAUGCAGAUUUUGUUGGUUGUUGUUUGUGGUGGUUGAGAUGGGUACUGCUAGAGGUUGCUGUACUGGCAUGUUGUUUGGUUCAGCUCAGUAGUCUUGUUUGUCUAGUUUGAUGCAUAUGUAUGUAGACUUUUUUCUUGCAGCCUUCAAUUUAUAUGUGCAACUUGUUCUGUUUAGCAGAUUAUCGUUUCUCUGAGGUAUCUCUUGUGUGCAACUUGUUCUGUCUUUGGCCUAAUACUUGGAAUCCAUUUUGCUAAAUUUUAGUAUAAUUUUAGCUUAUAAUAAAAACAACGACUAAAGUUGUUUGAUUGCUAAUUUGCUGAAAUUGUUUUGAACAAAAAAAAUAUAUAUAUGGACAUAUAUCAGAUAUACAGAUCUAAAAUGGAAAUGUAAUUGGAACAUAUUCCAAAAACAAAUUGAAAGGGUUGAUUCCCACAUGUCACUGAACACCAAGUCAAGUGGAGGCCGAGGAAAUUGAUUAGGUACAAUACUUGAAUGAGGAAAGUACCUUUGAAACAGAUGAGUCAAAUUUGGCAGAAUCAAUGGUGUUGGAGUUGGAGAGGAAGGAACAAAUAAAUGUUAUGGAGUAAAUCAGUACCGAGGAGAGAGGAGAAGGCCAUGAGGUAAAUUUACUGUAGAGAUGCAGUGUUUGGUUGUGCAGCUUUCAGAAUGAAGGGUCAGAAAGCUAUACUCAAUUUUCCUAAAUUGACUAUAUGCCCCUAGAAUAUAUGUCCCUCUGUGUCUCUAAAUUGAAUAUUGUUCCUCGAUGGCCCUAAAUUGAAUAUAUGUCCCUCAAUAUCCCUAACUUGAAUAUUUGUCCCCCGACGUCCCUAAAUUGAAUAUAUGUCCCUCAAUAUCCCUAACUUGAAUAUUUGUCCCUUGAUGUCCCUAAAUUGAUGGCCUGGGUGAAUGCAAUUCGAUGUCCCUAAAUUGACGGUCUGAAUGAAUGCAAUUCGAUGUGAAUGCUCAGUCAUAACUUGAAAUGUAAGCGGCGAUGACCCUUGACGCGAUGACUAUACUUGCUUUUUCAUAUUGGUAAAUUAGGAUGAUAGUUUUGUGCCUGUGUGACCUUAGAUGUGAAAAUUGAAUAUAUCCAAAUGCAACGGUGGCUGAUUUGGGUGAAUGGAAGGAGGGGCGCCCGUGUGACCUUAGAUGUGAAAAUUGAAUAUAUCCAAAUGCAACAGUGGCUGAUUUGGGUGAAUGGAAGGAGGGGCAUUGGCUUUUGGUGUGGAAGUGGCCGAGGGAAUUAAUUCAGUAGGCGUAUUAUCGUAUGACUUAAUGAAUGUGUUGCUGGCUAAUGUAGUUUUGGAGGUUGAGGGUGCUAUUGACAAAUUGAAGUGGUUAGCUGAUUCGGGAGAUUAUGAGGUAAUUUCAAAUGAGGUUAUUAAUCGGGAUGAUUGGCAAUCUAUGUGGUAUGUUGUUAUCUCAAUCUAUUGGGUGAUCUUGCAUCGAAAAGCUAUUGUUUUGCAAGUUGUGACCAUUUUUAAGUUGGUUUAAAUUGAAAGUCUGUAGUUGGUUAAGUGCAAAGAAUAACUUGUUAAAGUAUCACAUUUCAUCAUGGUUUAUUAAUGUUACAAGUUAAUCGGUUAUUGUCUAAGUUCAUAGGCAUGUGUGGGUUGAAAUUAUUGUCCGACAUGCAGAUUUUAUUGGUUGUUGUUGGUGGUGUUUGGAGAUGGGUACUGCUAGAGUUGGUUUAGCCCGGUAGUCUUGCUCGUCUGGAGUAUUGACAUAGACAGUGGGAAAUCUCUAUACGAAGUGUGGGCUACCUAUUAUUCGUUGGUGGUCCAGUGCACCCCUACUCACUUUGAUGCAUAUGUAUGUACACUUUUUUUGCACCCCUCAAU